rnacentral:rRNA from 1 species
GUGGGGAAUCUUGCGCAAUGGGCGAAAGCCUGACGCAGCAACGCCGCGUGCGGGAUGACGGCCUUCAAGGUUGUAAACCGCUUUCAGCAGGGACGAAAAUGACGGUACCUGCAGAAGAAGCCCCGGCUAACUACGUGCCAGCAGCCGCGGUAAUACGUAGGGGGCAAGCGUUGUCCGGAUUCAUUGGGCGUAAAGAGCUCGUAGGCGGUUCAGUAAGUCGGGUGUGAAAGCUCCGAGCUCAACUCGGAGAGGCCACCCGAUACUGCUGUGGCUUGAGUACAGUAGGGGAGCGUGGAAUUCCUGGUGUAGCGGUGAAAUGCGCAGAUAUCAGGAGGAACACCAGCGGCGAAGGCGGCGCUCUGGGCUGUAACUGACGCUGAGGAGCGAAAGUGUGGGUAGCAAACAGGAUUAGAUACCCGAGUAGUCC